rnacentral:rRNA from 1 species
AGUGAACGCUGGCGGUAGGCCUAACACAUGCAAGUCGAACGGCAGCACAGUAAGAGCUUGCUCUUACGGGUGGCGAGUGGCGGACGGGUGAGGAAUACAUCGGAAUCUACUUUUUCGUGGGGGAUAACGUAGGGAAACUUACGCUAAUACCGCAUACGACCUACGGGUGAAAGCAGGGGAUCUUCGGACCUUGCGCGAUUGAAUGAGCCGAUGUCGGAUUAGCUAGUUGGCGGGGUAAAGGCCCACCAAGGCGACGAUCCGUAGCUGGUCUGAGAGGAUGAUCGGCCACACUGGAACUGAGACACGGUCCAUACUCCUACGGGAGGCAGCAGUGGGGAAUAUUGGACAAUGGGCGCAAGCCUGAUCCAGCCAUACCGCGUGUGUGAAGAAGGCCUUCGGGUUGUAAAGCCCUUUUGUUGGGAAAGAAAAGCAGCAGGUUAAUACCCCGCUGUUCUGACGGUACCCAAAGAAUAAGCACCGGCUAACUUCGUG